UUAAUAAUUAAUAAGAUAUUGGUCCUUCCUGAUCACCACAUAAGAAGGUUAAGUGCUGGUUCCGCCUGCAUUUUUCAUGUUUUGUGGCUUUCCUAUUUCAGUGCCGCUGUUAUUAUCCUUUUUCCGGGGCUAACCCAUUCUUCAGUCUGCCCUCGAUUCUUCACCCUGCUUAUAAUUGCUCUAUUGUUUCUAAUAAAUGCAGCUUGAGGAAAGAUCUUUGAGGCUGUGUCACGAACAGCUCAGCUCCAAGCUGUGUUACCUAACCAG